GACGUAGGGCGCGAGCGUUGUCCGGAUUUAUUGGGCGUAAAGAGCUCGUAGGCGGCUUGUCGCGUCGAAUGUGAAAUCCUGCGGCUCAACUGCAGGCUUGCAUUCGAUACGGGCAGGCUCGAGUUCGGUAGGGGAGACUGGAAUUCCUGGUGUAGCGGUGAAAUGCGCAGAUAUCAGGAGGAACACCGGUGGCGAAGGCGGGUCUCUGGGCAUUAACUGACGCUGAGGAGCGAAAGCAUGGGGAGCGAACAGG
rnacentral:rRNA from 1 species